rnacentral:rRNA from 1 species
AUUGAACGCUGGCGGCAGGCCUAACACAUGCAAGUCGAGCGGAUGAAGAGAGUUUGCUCUCUGAUUCAGCGGCGGACGGGUGAGUAAUGCCUAGGAAUCUGCCUGGUAGUGGGGGACAACGUUUCGAAAGGAACGCUAAUACCGCAUACGUCCUACGGGAGAAAGUGGGGGAUCUUCGGACCUCACGCUAUCAGAUGAGCCUAGGUACGAUUAGCUAGUUGGUGAGGUAAAGGCUCACCAAGGCGACGAUCGUUAACUGGUCUGAGAGGAUGAUCAGUCACACUGGAACUGAGACACGGUCCAGACUCCUACGGGAGGCAGCAGUGGGGAAUAUUGGACAAUGGGCGAAAGCCUGAUCCGGCCAUGCCGCGUGUGUGAAGAAGGUCUUCGGAUUGUAAAGCACUUUAAGUUGGGAGGAAGGGCAGUAAGUUAAUACCUUGCUGUUUUGACGUUACCGACAGAAUAAGCACCGGCUAACUUCGUGCCAGCAGCCGCAGUAAGAC